rnacentral:rRNA from 1 species
ACGAACGCUGGCGGCGUGCUUAACACAUGCAAGUCGAACGGAAAGGCCCUGCUUUUGUGGGGUGCUCGAGUGGCGAACGGGUGAGUAACACGUGAGUAACCUGCCCUUGACUUUGGGAUAACUUCAGGAAACUGGGGCUAAUACCGGAUAGGUGCUCCUGCUGCAUGGUGGGGGUUGGAAAGUUUCGGCGGUUGGGGAUGGACUCGCGGCUUAUCAGCUUGUUGGUGGGGUAGUGGCUUACCAAGGCUUUGACGGGUAGCCGGCCUGAGAGGGUGACCGGCCACAUUGGGACUGAGAUACGGCCCAGACUCCUACGGGAGGCAGCAGUGGGGAAUAUUGCACAAUGGGCGGAAGCCUGAUGCAGCAACGCCGCGUGCGGGAUGACGGCCUUCGGGUUGUAAACCGCUUUCGCCUGUGACGAAGCGUGAGUGACGGUAAUGGGUAAAGAAGCACCGGCUAACUACGUG